rnacentral:rRNA from 1 species
GACGAACGCUGGCGGCGUGCUUAACACAUGCAAGUCGAGCGGUAAGGCCCUUUCGGGGGUACGACGAGCGGCGAACGGGUGAGUAACACGUGGGUGACCUGCCCUCCAGCUCUGGGAUAAGCCCGGGAAACUGGGUCUAAUACCGGAUAUGACUCCACGGUGCAUGUCGUGGGGUGGAAAGCCUUGUGCGGCUGAGGAUGGGCCCGCGGCCUAUCAGCUUGUUGGUGGGGUGAUGGCCUACCAAGGCGACGACGGGUAGCCGGCCUGAGAGGGCGACCGGCCACACUGGGACUGAGACACGGCCCAGACUCCUACGGGAGGCAGCAGUGGGGAAUCUUGCGCAAUGGGCGAAAGCCUGACGCAGCGACGCCG